GCCAUCGUGGACCAUCAUGGCGGUCACCUCCAGCAAGUGGACUGCGAAUUUCGCUACACGGAGGAAGCGGGGGUUCGAUUCCCUCCGAUGGCA